rnacentral:rRNA from 1 species
UGGGGAAUAUUGGACAAUGGGCGCAAGCCUGAUCCAGCCAUGCCGCGUGUGUGAAGAAGGCCUUCGGGUUGUAAAGCACUUUUGUUCGGGAAGAAAAGCUUCGGGCUAAUACCCCGGGGUACUGCCGGUACCGAAAGAAUAAGCACCGGCUAACUUCGUGCCAGCAGCCGCGGUAAUACGAAGGGUGCAAGCGUUACUCGGAAUUACUGGGCGUAAAGCGUGCGUAGGUGGUUCGUUAAGUCUGCCGUGAAAGCCCCGGGCUCAACCUGGGAAUGGCGGUGGAUACUGGCGGACUAGAGUGCGGUAGAGGGUGGUGGAAUUCCCGGUGUAGCAGUGAAAUGCGUAGAGAUCGGGAGGAACAUCUGUGGCGAAGGCGGCCACCUGGACCAGCACUGACACUGAGGCACGAAAGCGUGGGGAGCAAA